UCGAUUUGGAGUUUGUUGCCCUGAGUGAUGGGCUCCGAAGCUAACGCGAUAAAUCGACCGCCUGGGGAGUACGGCCGCAAGGUUAAAACUCAAAUGAAUUGACGGGGGCCCGCACAAGCGGUGGAGCAUGUGGUUUAAUUCGAUGCAACGCGAAGAACCUUACCUGGUCUUGACAUCCACAGAAUCUUGCAGAGAUGCGAGAGUGCCUUCGGGAACUGUGAGACAGGUGCCGCAUGGCUGUCGUCAGCUCGUGUUGUGAAAUGUUGGGUUAAGUCCCGCAACGAGCGCAACCCUUAUCCUUUGUUGCCAGCGAUUCGGUCGGGAACUCAAAGGAGACUGCCGUUGAUAAAGCGGAGGAAGGUGGGGACGACGUCAAGUCAUCAUGGCCCUUACGACCAGGGCUACACACGUGCUACAAUGGCGUAUACAAAGGGAGGCGACCUC
rnacentral:rRNA from 1 species